UACAGAGGUCCCAAGCGUUGUUCGGAUUUACUGGGCGUAAAGGGUGCGUAGGUGGUGAGGUAAGUCUGAUGUGAAAUCUCCGAGCUCAACUCGGAAAUGGCAUUGGAAACUACCUUGCUAGAGGGUUGGAGGGGGGACUGGAAUACUUGGUGUAGCAGUGAAAUGCGUAGAUAUCAAGUGGAACACCAGUGGCGAAGGCGAGUCCCUGGACAACUCCUGACACUGAGGCACGAAAGCUAGGGGAGCA
rnacentral:rRNA from 1 species